rnacentral:tRNA from 1 species
GCCACGGUGCUGGAAUUGGCAGACAGGCACGGUUUAGGACCGUGUGCCGCAAGGCGUGUGGGUUCAACUCCCUCCCGUGGCA